rnacentral:miRNA from 2 species
UAGCACCAUUGGAAUUCAGUUU